rnacentral:rRNA from 1 species
UACAGAGGUCCCGAGCGUUGUUCGGAUUUAUUGGGCGUAAAGGGUGCGUAGGCGGCGGAGUAAGUUGGGUGUGAAAUCCCGGGGCUUAACCUCGGAAUUGCAUUCAAUACUGCUUCGCUCGAGUACUGGAGAGGAGGCUGGAAUUUACGGUGUAGCAGUGAAAUGCGUAGAUAUUCGCAAGAACACCCAGUGGCGAAGGCGGCUCACUGGCCCGUACUGACGCUGAGGUGCGAAAGCGUGGGGAGCAAACAGG